AUCCAAUUAGCUCAAUCGGUUAGAGCGUCGUGCUUAUACAUCGUAUAUUCAUAUAGAGUUACAUCUAUUAAGGCACGCGAAGGUUGCGGGUUCAAGCCCCGUAUUGGAUA
rnacentral:tRNA from 1 species